rnacentral:rRNA from 1 species
GAUGAACGCUAGCGGCAGGCCUAAUACAUGCAAGUCGGACGGGAUUCAGGAGCUUGCUUCUGAUGAGAGUGGCGCACGGGUGCGUAACACGUAUGUAACCUACCUUUAUCAGGGGGAUAGCCUCUCGAAAGAGAGAUUAAGCCCGCAUAAAAUCACAGCACAGCAUUGUGUAAUGAUCAAAUAUUUAUAGGAUAAAGAUGGGCAUGCGGAACAUUAGCUAGAUGGCGGGGUAACGGCCCACCAUGGCGACGAUGUUUAGGGGAUCUGAGAGGAUGGCCCCCCACACUGGUACUGAGACACGGACCAGACUCCUACGGGAGGCAGCAGUAAGGAAUAUUGGUCAAUGGGCGGAAGCCUGAACCAGCCAUGCCGCGUGCAGGAAGACGGCCCUACGGGUUGUAAACUGCUUUUAUACGAGAAUAAACCCAGAUACGUGUAUCUGGCUGAAUGUACUGUAAGAAUAAGGAUCGGCUAACUCCGUG